rnacentral:lncRNA from 1 species
UCCUUGAUUUCCUAUGAAAUAUCCCUGCCCCCACUCUCUCCCAUUCUCCUCCUGAGCCAGCAGAGUAACCCUACCCAUUUUUUGCCUUUUCAGGUAGUCAGACCUGUCCUGACAGCUGGAGGCCUACGUGAGGGGUGGCCACAGAAGGAGGAGGUCUCAGAGGCCACAGAAACUGAGGAAUCUGAACACAUGAGCUCCGGAGUCCCAGGAAAAUGUCAACUUUUAUCUUCUGAAGAAACUUGGAGACUUUUGUAAAGGUGAAACUUUUCAUCUUUAGGACUGAACACCUUCUCAACUGAACUUAAAGGAGAGAUAAGUACAAUGUUUUGAGCUAUGUUUAAAUGAAGAUGAGCUAGAAGAAGACAGAACUGUUAAAAAUACGUAAGUUUUAUUAUGUAGCCAAAUGAAGGAUUCGGCUCUCUUUUAACGGUAUUCUUAAAAAUUCCUAGCUUCUAGGAAAUUCCCUAGUUAUGGAAUUUUCUUUCAUUAUAUUGAACUACUCCUGAUUUCAUCAUGAAAAUCUGAUCUGAAACUCAAUUUAUGGAAAUAUUGAAAAUGAAUUUGAAAUUAAAUGAGACCAUCUGUAUACUAAUAUGAUGCAAUAUUGUUGAUUCACAUUUUUCCAUAUUAAAGACUGUUCUGAACUCUAAAUCUUUUAAAUAAAUGAG